rnacentral:rRNA from 1 species
CAGUAGCCGCGGUAAUACGAAGGGUGCAAGCGUUACUCGGGAUUACUGGGCGUAAAGCGUGCGUAGGUGGUGGUUUAAGUCCGUUGUGAAAGCCCUGGGCUCAACCUGGGAAUUGCAGUGGAUACUGGGUCACUAGAGUGUGGUAGAGGAUAGUGGAAUUUCCGGUGUAGCAGUGAAAUGCGUAGAGAUCUGGAGGAAUACCGGUGGCGAAGGCGGCCCCCUGGACAAAGACUGACGCUCAGGUGCGAAAGCGUGGGGAGCAAACAGGAUUAGAUACCCCCGUAGUCCCUGUCUCUUAUAC